UACGUAGGGUGCGAGCGUUAAUCGGAAUUACUGGGCGUAAAGUGUGCGCAGGCGGCUUUGCAAGUCGAGUGUGAAAUCCCCGAGCUUAACUUGGGAAUUGCGCUCGAAACUACGAUGCUCGAGUAUGGCAGAGGAAGGUGGAAUUCCACGUGUAGCGGUGAAAUGCGUAGAGAUGUGGAGGAACACCGAUGGCGAAGGCAGCCUUCUGGGCCAAUACUGACGCUCAUGCACGAAAGCGUGGGGAGCAAACAGG
rnacentral:rRNA from 1 species